GUGUCAUGCUGCCUGCAGCCAGCCACUAUCAGAAACUAGGAGAAACUUGGAACAAAUCCUUCCCCAGGGUUUCAGCAGAAUCAUGGCCCAAAUGACACAUGGAUUUCAAACUUUCUGACUUCCAGAAUUGUGACAUGAUAAGUUUUUAUUGUUUUAAGCCACCCAGUUCCAUAUCACCUUGUUGUGGAAGCCCUAGCAAACCCAAACUGGCUGAUAAUCAAUAUGUUCUUUUAUAGCCACCAGUUGUCCAGAUUAUUGAUUUUUCUGAUUGGUACAUAGAUGGUGCAUCACUAUUCUGAGUCCUCCAGACAACUCUGGCCUCCCUGCCCACUCAGACUCUUGGGAUGCCUGGACUUUGCCUAUGAUACAAAAUUAAAGCCAACUACAUCUUUAAAGCUACAACCACCUACUCAGACUGGAUUCCCUGUUUCCUGCAAGAAAGUUUGAAGAACAUACCCAUUCUCCUCAACCUACUGUUAUCUCACUGCUUCUUAUGAUCACACUAUUUUCACAUGGUAAAUAUUUACCACCUAGUUCUCCAGCGAAGAAGGCAAAUUAUUUGUUACAUUUGGAGACUGGGAAAUCUGUACCCCUUAGCCCUCUCUCCACCAUGUAAGCAAAUCCUCUGCCUGGUGAUCUGCUUUCUGGGUUUCAGGUGGCUGCCUAAUGAAAAACCGUCAUCCCUACAGGCCUAAAAUAAUACCGGUCGAGGGGGAACAAAUGCAAACUACAGUUUUAAUAUGGACCCUGACUUCCCAAGGAGAUUAUGUUUCAGAACCUGUAUUUGUGCAUUUCAGUUACCAUGGAUACAAGCAGCCAUGUGGGUAAGUAGCUAGCUGUUAGGUAGUAGUCAGAGGAGACCUAUGAUUACCCUAGAUCUCAGCUGAUUCAAGGAAUAAUAAGAUAUCCUCUAUCUGAUACUCAACUAUUCAAGGUAACAUCCAGAGUAGUUUACUUUAUUCCAAUAACACUAUUAAGUCACAUUUGUUGCAUUAAUGAAUGAAUUGUUUAUUUAAUGGAUAUGUACUGAGGGUCUGAGUGUGAGCGUAUGGUACACAAUCAGGAAGGGAUAUCAAAGUACACAAAACAAUCAGGAAGGGAAGUCAAAGUCAAAUAUAUAUAUAGCUUUAUUCUCCAAGGAUCUCAUUCUAGUUCAGAAGGCAGGUAUCCAUUAUGGUAAAUUUUAAAAGAGAUAAAUUUUCUAAACUACAAAAGGAACCAUUCUUGGUAGAACAGAAUCAAGAUGGAAAAGGCUACACAAAACGAAGUGGGUGGAAGCUGAGUCCUAAAUGGUGGGUGGGCUUGGGAGGGUGGGCUUUGAAGAUAAAGAGCACCGUUAGCAUUGAAAGAAGGGGGCAUGGAAAAUACAGAGUCAUGAAACAUCACGAACGCUAGGAGACUGCUAAGAAUAAUUCUCUUUCAAACAGACAGUUCUGGCAUUAUGGAAAGUACUAACGAAUAAAGCCUCCAGAGUUUGAGAAUCUUAGUCAUAGGAACAGGGUCAAAAUCUGGAAAGAGCUCCUCAGCAUGGGAGCAAACUAUGACAAAAUCCACAACUCCACAUCUUUAGAAAUAGUGACAUCAUUGUCAGAGCAAAAACCUAGCAAGUUAAACAUUUCAAAUGACAUUAAGUUUACUCAUUUCACAAACAGAUUUCAAUAGUCUUUGGAGGACACCCCAGAAGAAUAAAUAUCAACUGAGAAUGAGAAAACAACUACUCCCCCCAAAAAUACCACAUCCAGUUACUAGAGCACUCUGAGAAAAUGUGCACAUAUACGGUCCCUCCACAAUGUCCCUCUAGUCACUGAAAUCAGCCAAGGUUUCUAGUCUACUGUUUGUAAAGGUAAUGACACUAGAAAGCAUCUCUUCAAAACCCUUACGUAUCAAAAGCUGUCUUCAUCAAGUUGAUAGUUUCUGCUCAUUUAAAAAUUUUGUUCAUGGAAUUAUCUAUUUCUAAAAGCCCAAGUGGAAAACAAGAUAUCUAUGUAUUUUCACUUUGCUGGUGGUUAAUUAAACAGAUGGUGACUUCCUUAUCCUGUGACACUUCUGUAUGAUGAACAAGAUAAAUAAGUUAAUCAGAACACAGUUUGUAUAAUUAAAAUACAUAUGUUAUUUAGACAUAAGGAGCAGAAACAUUAUUAUAAUAGGCUUCAAACUGAAAAUCAAAUGAAGAUAUUAAGUAGAAUUACAAAAGAGUUGAAACAUGUCCAGAAACUCCGAUAAUUUUCCAAAGCUGACAAACAAUGGCCAAUAGGUAUAUAUAGAAAGGUACUCAACAUCAAUAGUCAUCAGGAAAUGCGAAUCAAAACCACAGUGAGAUAUUACCUCACACCUGUUAGGAUCUAUCAGCAAAAAGACAAGUGAUGACAAGUGUCAGGUACAGGGGAGAGAAAGGGAGAUCUUGUCCACUCCUGGUGGCACCGCAAACUGAUCCAGUCAUUAUGGGAAACAGUGUAGAGAUGCCUCAGAAAAUGAGAACUAGAACCCUAUGACUCGGGACAUGUAUUCUGAGUACAUAUCCAAAGGAUCCAAAGGAAAUGAAACCCGUACCUUAAAGAGCUAUGUGCACGCCCAUGUUCAUUGCAACAUGAUUCCCAAUAGAUAAGACAGAAAGAAUCUGAGCAUCCAUCAACAGAUAGAUCAAUAAUGAAAUUACUAUGUUAAAUAUUAUUCAGUGCUAAAUAUUAUUCAGCCUAAAAAAGAAGGAGAUUCUGCUAUUAGUGAUAACAUAGACAUACUUAAAGGAAAUUAUGCUAAGUGAAAUGAACAGGAAGACAGAUCACAUGAUAUCAUUAAUAUGGAAUUUUAAAAGGUCUAACUUAGAAAAAUUGAGUACAAUGGUGUUUGCCAGAUAACAGAAGGAGUGGUAGAUUUGGGAAGAUCUGUAAAAGGGUAAAACCCCUCAGUUAUAACAUGAAUAAGUUCCAGAUAUCUAUAGUGCAACAGGGUAACUUCAGCUAAUAAUAGUGUCUUUCAUACCUGAAAUCUGGGGAGACAGUAAAUCUUAAGUAUCACAAUACCUACAAAAAAUGACAAGUGAAGUACUGAAUUUGUUAAGUCACUUGAUUGUGCAAAUCAUUAUACAAGAAUACUUAUGUCAAAACACCAUGUAGUACACCUUAAAUAUAUACAAGUUUCGAUUUGUCGAUCAUACCUCAAUAAAGCUGGAGAAAACAAAAAUCAAAUAAAAUACUGGAAGGAGUCUGUUCUUGUAAGAAUGGGGGCCAUGAGUCUCA
rnacentral:lncRNA from 1 species